CCACUCGACGAUGAAGAACUCAUCUCCUACAUCCUCAACGGACUCGACAUCGACUACAAUCCACUCGUUUCAACCAUCUUGGGACGAGUGGAACCCAUCUCAGUUAGUGAAUUAUAUGCUCAACUACUAAUGUUUUGAUA